CAUAGCAAAGUCGAAACGAGACUUGGGGCUCGGCUCAAAGUUUAGUGGCAGACGGGGUGAGUAAACGCGUGGGAAUUACCCCUUUGGUGGAGAAUAACUGUUGGAAACGACAGCUAAUACUCCAUAAGCUGGGAAAACCAGGAAAAGAUUUAUCGCAAAGGAGGAGCCCGCGUCAGAUUAGGUGGUUGGUGGGGUAAAGGCGUACCAGGCCUGUGAUCUGUAGCUGGUCUGAGAGGAUGACCAGCCACACUGGGACUGAGACACGGCCCAGACUCCUACGGGAGGCAGCAGUGGGGAAUAUUGGACAAUGGGCGAAAGCCUGAUCCAGCAAUACCGAGUGAGUGAUGAAGGCCUUAGGGUUGUAAAGCUCUUUUAGCAGGGAAGAUAAUGACGUUACCUGCAGAAAAAGCCCCGGCUAACUCCGUGC
rnacentral:rRNA from 1 species